GAUGAACGCUGACAGAAUGCUUAACACAUGCAAGUCUACUUGAACUUCGGUUUGGGUGGCGGACGGGUGAGUAACGCGUAAAGAACUUGCCUCACAGUUAGGGACAACAUUUGGAAACGAAUGCUAAUGCCUGAUAUUAUGAUUUUAGGGCAUCCUAGGAUUAUGAAAGCUAUAUGUGCUGUGAGAGAGCUUUGCGUCCCAUUAGCUAGUUGGAGAGGUAACGGCUCACCAAGGCGAUGAUGGGUAGCCGGCCUGAGAGGGUGAACGGCCACAAGGGGACUGAGACACGGCCCUUACUCCUACGGGAGGCAGCAGUGGGGAAUAUUGGACAAUGGACCAAAAGUCUGAUCCAGCAAUUCUGUGUGCACGAUGACGUUUUUCGGAAUGUAAAGUGCUUUCAGUUGGGAAGAAAAAAAUGACGGUACCAACAGAAGAAGUGACGGCUAAAUACGUG
rnacentral:rRNA from 1 species